rnacentral:rRNA from 1 species
CCUACGGGAGGAGGCAGCAGUGGGGAAUAUUGGACAAUGGGCGAAAGCCUGAUCCAGCCAUGCCGCGUGUGUGAAGAAGGUCUUCGGAUUGUAAAGCACUUUAAGUUGGGAGGAAGGGCAGUAAGCGAAUACCUUGCUGUUUUGACGUUACCGACAGAAUAAGCACCGGCUAACUCUGUGCCAGCAGCCGCGGUAAU